rnacentral:lncRNA from 1 species
GCCGCCGCCAUGAUGAGGAGGUCGGCGCGGCUGUGCUGCGGGCAGGCAGCGGAGAGGGCUCGCGGCGAGGGCUCCAGCUUACCCCGCCGCCGCGUCGCGUGCACGGAGCGCUUCAGAGGUUUGGAGGGGGCCGGAACCUCAAAAGCAACUGGAUGAGCACAACGCGGACGCCCCGGAGAAGCGGCGCAAGCGGGCCCAAAAUGGUUGCUGAUCAGACGAGUGGCAUCUCUCGCCCCCCUACCGCGGGAAUUGGGACCUCCAGACUGUGCCUGGGGGAUCGGCAAGUGGUUCCCCUCUGGUUUUUUCGGCGCUGCCUUCCCGGUGGUAUCCUCACUCUCUCUCUUUGAAAUGACCUCUGCUUUCCUAUCUCUAACUCUUCCCAGAUAUUUGAAAGCAAGUUUUUGUACAAAGCAACAUAUGAAUGUAUUCAGCCAUUCGAUCGUUCGGCGAACAUUUCUAGGUGUCUCGUGCUGUGCCAGAUAUUGUUCUGAGUGCGCUGAAGAUGCACCUGUUAGCAAGACAAAGUCCUGGCUCCCACGGAGCUUAUUCGAAGCAAUAGGGGCCCCCAAGCAGGUGCCUGAGAAGUAGGGAGGGGUGGACAGUGGGAAAACAACCUAACGGUGGAGACACACGAGGGGUCUUUUUUUACUUUUAGAAACGGGGGUGGGUGGUCACCCUAUGUUGCCUAGGCUGGUCUCGAACUCCUGGGCCCAAGCGAUCCUCCCGACUCAGCCUCCCAAAGUGCUGGUAUUACAGGACACCAUGCCCGGCAGAGGGGUCGUUUUUGUUGUUUUUUUAGUGUCGUCAGGAGACUCCCUCCAUCAGAAUUACUCAGGCUGAUUGUUUUGAGUCCUGGGACCCAGUUGGUAUCCAGAAUCUUGGCUUGUUUGCCUAGGAACCUGCAUUUUCACAUCCCCAUCUCCACACCCCUGGUGAUUCUUAUGCAUAUAAUAAUGUGAAAAGCAUUGCAUUGAAGAAUUGCUAAAGGGUGUCAGAAAACGGAUUAACAAAAUCAGGAAGCUUUAAUUUUCAAGAUUCUAUUAACCUCAAAAUUCAACAUAUCCAAAAAUUGAAUGUCUUUUUCUCCAGUGUUUUCUAGGAGAGUGCCAACACUAGCCACCCAAGUGCUCAAGCCAGAAACCUGGAAAUGAUCCAUUACUCUUUCCUCUGUCUCUGGAGUCCCCAUGUUAAAUUAGAUGUGUUUGUUUGUGAGACAGAUUCUCACUCUAUUACCUAGGCUGGAGGGCAGUGGUGCAAUCAUUGUUCACUGCAGCCUCGACCUCUCUGGGCUCAAGGAUCCUCCCACCUCAGCCUCCCCAGUAGCUGGGACUACAGGUCCCCACCACCACGCCCGGCUAAUUUUUGUAUUUUUAGUAGAGAUGAGGUUUCAUCUUGUUGGCCCGGGCUGGUCUCGAACUCCUAGGCUCAAGUGAUCUGCCUGCCUUAACCUCCCAAAGUGCUGGGAUUACAGCCGUGAGCCACUGCACCCAGCCCCAAUUAGAUUUUUAAAACUGUUGUUCCCUGUCAGUUCUUACUCUGGUUCAGGCUACUGUCAUCUCUCCUAGAGACACUGCGGUAGACUCCUCUUGGUCUCCCUGCCACCGAAAUUGCCCUCUCCAAAUCCACUACAGCUUGAAUGGUCUUUCAAGAAAGAAAAUCAUGUUUUUUCCCUGUUUAAGACUCUUAAAAAGAUCUGAUUAACACGUAGGAUAAAGUCUAAAAUUCUUUGAGGUGGCUACAGGGCCAUUGGUGAUCUCAUCCCUGUUGCCAUCUCUGACCUCAUCUGCCACAGAUAUUUCUCAGGCUACACUCAAAACUGGGAAGCUCUCAGGUCAUUUAAGCCUGGAAAUUGUGCCACCUCACAACUGUUGCAAGGGCUGUUCCCUUUGCCCAUAACUUCAUUUCUCUCUACACCAUCUAUGCACUUACUUGAAUCCUCACCUGAAUAAUUCUUACCAUUCUUUCAGAUCCCAACAUUAAUACCAUCGCCUCCAGGCAGCAUUUUUUCAUCUCCCAAGAUUGGGUGCAUUAGACCCUUUGUCAUCACACCCAGUACUCCCCACGUUUAUUGAGCGCUCACGAUGCGUCAGGCCCUAGUGGAAGCCUUUAUGCACAUUAUCUUCUUUCUCAUUUAAUUAUCAAGUAGAGCCCACAAGGUAGGUACUACCUUUUUUUUAACUUUUGAGACAGGGUCUCACUGUAUCUCCCAGACUGGAAUACAGUGGCGCAAACACAGCUCACUGCAGUCUCAUCCUGGGCUCAAGCAAUCCUCCCAUCUCAGCCUCCUGAGUAGCUGGGACCACAGGCAGAUGCCUGUUGCCCAGGCUGGUCUCCAACUCCUGGGCUCAAGCCGUUCUACCUUAGCCUCCUAAAGUGCAGGGAUUACAGGUGUGCAACUGUGCCCGGCCUGGGUAGUUACUAAUAUUAUCCCAUUUUACAGAUGAAGAAACAAGGACAUAUAGGGGUUACUUGCCCAAACCCAGACAAUAAGCUAGAUCUGAAAGUCAUCAGCCUGACCUCAGAGUUGUACUUUUAACCAUUAUCAGGGUCUCAGGCCAGUACCCACUGAUGAAACACAUAAGUAACUUAGUGGGUCAUUACCAACAUUUCAUUAAAGAAAUAGAAAAUGGCAGAGAACAUCAAACUUAGUAAGGCUCUUGUUUCGUGAAACUUGUCAGAUUCUCUAAUAUGAUAAAUACUAAAUCUUACAAACAUUGAAAAUACAAAAUUAAACAAAAUAUUACCAAGGUUAACACAAAAGUAUGAAUACUGCAGAUCUGAUUUAUUUUACUAUCCUCAUCUUUAAUGCAGAACCUUCUUAGGAUUAAAUGACAUUUACCAUUCUGAGCAAACUGAGGUUACUGCCCCAAACGGACUGGGCUUACCUUUGCAGGAGAACAGGGGAGGCUGUGUUUUGGCUGGAGAUUUUUGGCUAAGAGUCAAGACACAGAGAUUCUUCUGCUACCACUGUGAACACAUCAAGUCCCUUUCACAUAGAUGCUGUUUCCACAAGGGUCUCCCCACACCCUUCCCUACAGAUUAGAUUCCCGUGAUGCCUUAUUUAAUUCUUGUUGGAUCUGUUGAUUUGGUUAUGAAGUAGGUGAAAUUCUGGUAACCUCACCCAGGUUCCUUCCCCUCUUGAUUAGAUCCAGCCAGUCUGUUCGCUGGAUGAUUAAAUUUGGCAUUCAUUUUUCUGUGCUUUCCCUAUCUGCUACUAUCCUAAAGUCAUUCUAAUGACCAAAAAAGGUGCCUUGAGCCAGACUGUAGAGGGUUCUAAUGGCCUCCUUAGAAAUUGUGUUUUUUUGUUUUUUUUUUGAGAUGAGGUUUCGCUCUUGUUGCCCAGGUUGGAGUGCAAUGGUGCGAUCUUGGCUCACUGCAACCUCCGCCUCCCGGGUUCAAGCGAUUCUCCUGCCUCAGCCUCUCAAAUAGCUGGGACUACAGGCAUGCGCCACCACGCCCGGCUAAUUUUGUGUUUUUAGUAGAGACGGGGUUUCACCAUGUUGCCCAGGCUGGUCUCGAACCCCUGACCUCAGGUGACCCACCCACCUCGGCCUCCCAAAGUGCUGGGAUUACAGGCCUGAGCCACCAUGCCUGCCAAGGAACUGGUUCUUAGUAGGCAAUAGACAGUUGACAAUUUUGAGCUAAGCACUAAGGUCAUAGGAGUGUAGAUUCACCAGGGAGUGAGUUGGGCUUCUGGUCUCUAGAGGGCGCUCAAGGCUUCUCCCUCCCCACCCUCUUCCUUCCCCCAAGGUGGAGGUAGGAUGGUGAAGAAAUUUCAUCUCCCCACCACCAAACACACACAAAGGAAGAAAAUCUUACUAAAAUUGGAGAAUAUGGAAUAACAUUUUCUUGGGAUGGAGCCCUUAAAAGAUAACACGUUCAACAGAAAGUGCUGCGUCUUUCCCGUUCUUCAACAUACUCUGAGUGGUAACAAGGGCUGCCCUUGCCUUUCUCAGAGGCAGCCCAGCCAGCUUGUUCUCUUUCCCUCUCCCACAAGGUAGCCAGGCCCUAAGGCUAUGGCCCACAGAAAAAGUCUUAGCAAGGCCCCGGGCUUGGGGCAAAGAGGCUGUGGAUUUGUCUUUCUCUCUACUUUUUCUGGUUAGUGUGCCUCUAUCCCACUCGGAAGAAAAGUUCCAAGACUCAAAUUUGGGCAUUGAUGUGGGGAGGAUAGACAGAGAUGACCAGAAUCCAGCCUAUCUUUCCUGACUUCUGCAUUGUGGUUCAUACCCAGCUAAUAAUAAAGUGUUCCUUUCCCUGGUGUGUCAUUGCACAUGUACUCCCCACACUCCUGAUGAGUAGAGAUGGCUGGCCAAGACAGGAUUCAGACAUUCCCACAUCCCCAACCAAACAUCCUCUCCAUACCAUCUUAUUAAUCAGUCUUUGAACAAUUUCCUAAACUCCCUAACAGGUUGGAGAUGGCUGGAAGAAAUGAAAAGAAGAACGCCAACAAAGGCGAUAAAGAAAAAUUCAACACUGCUUGAUAACUGAUGAGAUAGUGAAGGAGUAGGAGGGCAAAAGUCAGAAGUAAUUCCAGGUGUUCAAGAACUAAAUGCUGAAGAGAUGUUAGUGUCGUUGACGGUCUUCUAAUGGGAAGUGAAUUUCAAUAGAAAGAGGAUGUGUUUGGUUUCAGACAGACCGAGUGACUGGUGACAACAGGAAAGCCACGUGUUUGGAGCAGAUUACUCGGUACAGUCAGCAGCUGGAAUGGAAGUGAAGAAGGCCCAGCAGAGCAUCAGACCUGAGUGCAAACUAUGGUGGUGUUGGUGGAAUAGAGGGAAGGGAGAGAUUUGAGAGACAUUGGGAAGAAAGGUUUUGGUUUUUGAGACAGAGUCUUGCCCUGUCAUCCAGGCUGGAGUGCAGUGGCAUAAUCUUGGCUUACAGCAAACUCCACCUCCCGGGUUCAAGCAAUUAUCAUGCCUCAGCCCCCUAAGUAGCUGGAAUUACAGGCAAGUGCCACCACAUUCAGCUAAUUUUUGUAUUUUUAGUAGAGACAGGGUUUCACCAUCUUAGCCAGGCUGGUCUCAAACUCCUGACCUCAGGUGAUCCACCUGCCUCGGCCUCCCAAAGUGCCGGGAUUACAGGUGUGAGUCACCAUGCCCAGCCACCAGAAGUUUAAUCAAGGCUCAGAGACUGAUUCCAGUUUGAGUUUUCUAAUAACUGUCUAAUACUUAGCUAAUAGCUUUGGACAGUUGCUCUUUUUAAAAUGAGAUCAUUCAAUCAUUGCAUUCAUCUUUGGGUAUGACUCACUAGUCAACAGAGUCCCCCUUCUGUAGAAACUGCCUCAUUCACAGAGAUGACCUCCACCAGUCAUGCCUAUAUUUGAGACCCUGUCUCUCUUUAUCCCCCAUUGCUGCGUGAUUCAAGGGUGGUCACCUGACCCAGGCAGUGCCAAGUUUAUUCUCUGUCUUGGGAAUUUAGAAUGUUUGUUUGGCUAAGAGACACAGAAACUGGAAGCUGGAGCUGAUGAUGGAGCUGAUCACGCUAAUGAUGGAGCUAUAGAGAUAAGAUGCAUGAACACCACCGAGGUCCCCAAGAUUGCCAUAUUCCUGCAGUGCCUUCUGGCCACAGAUAGUUGGUCCAGAAGCAGGUUCCUGACUCAACCUGGGCCAAUUAGAGCCUUUCACGGAGAUUUUGAAAUCAAAGUUGAGAUCUCUCUUUCUCUCUAUGCCCUUUGGUGUAUGUGUACUUGAGCUACAAGUUACCCAACUUUGGAAGCUGUAGACAGAGGCAAUUUUCCACUAAAUGAAGUGAGAAACAGAAAGUCCAUCAUUAGUGAGAGAGGAGCAAGGCAGAUGCACACAGAGAAGCAGAUAGAGGGGAAGCGGGCGGGAGUGGGGCGGGAGUUCCUGGAGUCCCCACAGUGCUCUAGUUUCUGAUUCUCUUCCUAAGACCCACAGGAUUCCUGCCUUUGGGUUUCUUAAGUUCCUGAAUAGCUCCUGAUUGCCUUUGUCUUUUUUACGAAAGUCCUUUGAGCAUGGUUUCAGGUGAGCAGACAGUCCUAACCUAAAGAGCUGUAACAAAUACACGUGGGCUGUGUGUGAGAUUCGGGGAGAGGCACCAGGGAUCCAGUGUGGGUCAGGCGUGGUGCCGCCCUCAAGGAACUUAGUGGGGAGAAAAUGAAGUCUGUACUUCAAUAACUACAGUGCAGGCUAGGAAGAGAACACCCUUAGAGAUGUGCAAAUCAAGCUCUUUGGGAGUUUAGAGGAGGCCUAGGACUGCUAAGGAAAGGCUGGGACUAGGAAGAGGUAAGCAAGUCACUGAGGAGGCAAAAUUUAAGAAGCCACCCACUCUCAGGGUGUGUGAAUGCAGCGUUGGCACUUGCAUGACCCUGAGAAUGAGCAACCCCUUAAAUGUAUCUUAGGCACCUUGCCAGACUCACUUUUAGCUUGCUGGACUAAUUGUGGGGAUCAGUAGGCCUUCAGAGGAAAGUUAGUGUCUGAGCUGAACUGAAGGAUGGGGUGGUUUUGGACUUGGUGGCAAUGUCAUCUACCUCAAGGUAAAGUAACAAUAUGGAAAACGCUCCCGUGAAAAUUCACAAGGUCUGUUCUAGGAUCAUCAGGCUCUUCGGUGUGACUUAAGAGUUCAGAGCAUGAAGGAGGAGGGGGCAGUAAGAAAAAUGGAGAGAACGUAGCAUCAGAUUCUGCAGGCAAGGAGAAAAUUGCUAAGCUGGGAAAUAACAUAAUCAGAGCGGUACUUAAGAUGAAUCUAACGGAAUAGCAUGAAAUAAAGGAAAGGCUAAGGAGAGGACAAACAGGAGGCUAUUGUGGCAAUCCAGGCGUGAAAGUCUAAACUAAUCAGCACUGGGAAUAGAGAUGCCAUAGGAAAAAUAAUACAUCAUUAAUAUAACUUGGCAAUUGAGUAGAUGUUGGAGACAAGAGAGAAAUCAGAAACACUGCUAAACACUAUGCAGCUAUAACAAAGAAUGAGAGAGCAUUCAGUAAGAUCACAUCCAAGAUAUGUACAUGAAAAACACAAGGGAUAGAACUGUGUAUAUGGCAAGCUAUCACUUGCAUUUUUUAUUUUUUAAAUGGUAUUUAUUUAUUUCUUGUUUUUUCCUUUUUUUAAGACUAAAAAAUCAAUUAUAAAAUCCUCAACCACUUGACUUUUUUUUUAAGUUCCUGGGUACAUGUGCAGGACGUACAGGUUUAUUAUAUAGGUAAACGUGUGCUAUGGUGGUUUGCUGCACCUAUCAACCCAUCACCUAGGUUUAAGCCCCGCAUGCAUUAGCUCUUUUCCCUAGUGCUCUUCCCCCACCAUCCUCCCCUGACAGGCCCCGGUAAGUGUUGUUCCCCUCCCUGUGUUCUCAUUGUUCAGCUCCCACUUAUAAGUGAGAACAUGUAAUGUUUGGUUUUCUAUUCCUGCAUUAGUUUGCUAAGGAUAAUGGCUUCCAGCUCCAUUUAUGUCCCUGUAAAGGACAUGAUCUUGUUUUUUUAUGGCUGCGUAGUAUUCCAUGGUGUAUAUGUACCACAUUUUCUUUAUUCAGUCUAUCAUUGAUGGGCAUUUGGGUUGAUUCCAUGUCUUUGCUAUUGUGAAUAGUGCUGCAAUGAACAUACGUGUACAUGUAUCUUUAUAACAGAGUGAUUUAUAUUCCUUUGGGUAUACACCCUGUAAUGGGAUUGCUGGGUCAAAUGGUAUUUCCAGUUCUAAAUCUUUGAGGAAUCGCCACACUGUCUUCCACAAUGGUUGAACUAAUUUACAUUCCCACGAACAGUGUAAAAGCAUUCCUAUUUCUCUGCAAUCUCACCAGCAUCUGUCAUUUCUUGACUUUUUAAUAAUCGCCAUUCUGACUGGUGUAAGAUGGUAUCUCAUUGUGGUUUUGAUUUGCAUUUCUCUUUUUUUUUUUUUUUUUUUUUGAGACAGUUUCAAAAACUUGUUGCCAAGGCUGGAGUGCAAUGGUGUGAUCUUGGCUCACUACAACCUCUGCCUCCUGGGUUCAAGUGAUUCUUCUGCCUCAGCCUCCCAAGUAGCUAGGAUUACAGGUGUAUGCCACCACGCCCAGCUAAUUUUUGUAUUUUUACUAGAGACGGGGUUUCACUAUGUUGGCCAGGCUGAUCUUGAACUCCUGACCUCAAGAGAUCUGCCCACCUCCGCCUCCCAAAGUGCAGGGAUUACAGGCGUAAGCUUCCACGCCCAGCUGAUGGUAGUUUCUUUUGCUAUGCAUAAGCUCUUUAGUUUAAUUAGAUCCCAUUUGUUGAAUUUUGCUUUUGUUGCGAUUGUUUUUGGCAAUUUUAUCAUAAAAUCUUUGCCCAUUCCUAUGUCCUGAAUGGUAUUGUCUAGAUUUUCUUCUAGGGUUUUUGUAGUUUGGGGUUUUACAUUUAAGGCUUUAAUCCAUCUUGAGUUAAUUUUUGUAUAAAGGUGUAAGGAAAGGAUCGAGUUUCAGUUUUCUGCAUAUGGCUAGCCAGUUCUCCCAUCACCAUUUAUUAAACAGGAAAUCCUUUCCCCAUUGCUUGUUUUGGUUUGUCAAAGAUCAGAUGGUUGUAGAUGUGCGAUUUUAUAUGUGCUGCCAAAGUGAGCACUAUUUAUUUAUUUUUUUAAACAGAGUCUCACUGUGUUGCCCAGGCUGGAGUGCAGUGGCAUGAACAUAGCUCACGUAGCCUUAUUUGCAUUUGUAAAAGGGAAAUAUGUUUUGUUUUGUUUUUUGAGACAGAGACUCACUCAGUCGCCCAGGCUGGAGUGCAGUGGCACCAUCAUGGCUCACCACAGUCUCAACCUCCCCAGGCUCAGGUGAUUCUUCCACCUCAGCCUCUGGAGUAGCUAGGAUUACAGGUGUGCGCCACUACACCCAGAUAAUUUUUUUUUUCUUGA